CUCAACUUAUUAAAAAAAAUAAAAAGCUCACACCCUUGAGGGAGAGUAUUCCUGGGGCUUUGGAAUUCAACAUCUUUGUCCUGACUUCACCCCUACCAGUUGUGCAACCAGAGCCUUGGCCUCUGAGGAAGACAUUUUUGAUAGUGCCAUUUCAAGACGGCAUGGGCUGCCCCAUUAGGAGGUGGAUAUUUAGCCGUAGAAGCAUUCAAGCAAACACAAAACAGCAAAUGUCAGAAUUUUGAUCAACAAAUACAAAUUAUCUCCUUCCUAAGAGAAUUCUAACUUAUGUGCCACAAUCUUCUCCCUCCUUCCAGACUCUGGGACUUGAAUGUAUAAUUGCAGCCCGUUGUCUGCAACGUAAUUAUAGCCUCAUUGACUUGUUGCACAGCAGGAUGACAAGAGUGCUGGCUGUCAGACAGGGUCAGAGGUCAGCCAUUACCCCACGGAUUGCAGGCAGCAGCCUCAUCAGGAUUCUCGGGAAGUCUCUUCUCAGCCGUGGGACGGGUCUGCAGCUGCCCGUGUGCCUCAGCAGAUGACUCUUUGCAUGAAAACACAGACUGUUUUCAAGACACAACAUCCCAAGAUGCCAUUUGACUUCUUGUUUUCUU